rnacentral:rRNA from 1 species
AUGGCUGACCCGAGACCGUUCACCAACGUUGAUCCUGCGACGGCGGCCGAAUCGCGGCGCAAUGGCUGUGACCCGCACGAGGUGGACCAAUUCGUGGAGCACGUGCUAGCGUACAUCUACAUCCUCGUCCCCCGCCCGCCGUUCACCGACAACGGCCGGCUCACGCCCUCGCCGCCUCCAUCAACGGCCAGCCUCCCCGACGAGCUCCUGCGCAACAUCGUCACUCGCCUCCCUGUCAAGGACGCCGCGCGCACCGCCGUGCUCUCCACCUGCUGGCGCACGCUCUGGCGCUCCACGCCCCUCGUCCUCAACGACGCCCACCUCAUCCCCGACAGCCACGUCUAGCGUCCUACGCGCGCCAACUCGCCGGCCGUCACCGCGGCCGUGUCCCGCAUCCUCGAAGCGCACCCGGGGCCCUUCCGCUGCGUCGACCUCGUCUGCAGCCACAUGAAUGCCUACCUUGCCCAGCUCGCGCGGUGGAUCCACCUCCUCGCCGCCAAGGGCGUCCAAGAUCUCGUCCUCGUCAAUUGACCAUGGCCGCAAGACGUGCCCCUCCCCGCCACUCUCUUCAGCGUCAGCACCCUCACCAGCCUCUACAUCGGCUUCUGGAAAUUGCCGAGCACGGACGUCCUGCGCGGUGCCCCCUUUCCCCACCUUGUCGAGCUCGGCAUAUGCAGCGUUGAAAUGGAGCACGACGCCAUCGAGUCCCUCGUCGCCAGGAGCCCUGUCCUGGAGAUCCUCAAUAUUGAGGGAUGGCGCACGGAGCUGUGUCUACGCCUCGUCAGCCAGAGCCUACGCUGCGUGCAAAUCUGUAGCUCGGUUAUGGAGAGCAUCACCAUGGCAAAGGCUCCAUGCCUCGAGCGGCUUAUCCCCUCUGGCAGAGUCGGUCGUGGUGCCUUCAGAGUCAGGAUUGUCGAUGCCCCCAAGCUGCACACGUUUGGAUUCUUAGAACCAGGACAGGUCCUAGAGGUUGGGAAAACUGCCAUCAUGCCCGGGAUAAAGGCAAGCACAAGUACCAUGCUCACAACCGUGAAAAUUCUGAGCUUGAAUGUGCGUUUCGGGGUUCGCAGUGAUGUCAAGAUGGUUCCCACCUUCCUCAAAUGCUUUCCCAACAUGGAGAGACUGCACAUUAUGAGCAAAAGAUGCGAUCAACCCACUGGUAACCACCUCACCCGCAAGUUCUGGGAGGAGUCUGGUCCCAUCGAAAAUGCCGUCUUGCGCAUCCACACGAUGUGCCUCCGCGAGUUCCGAGGGGACACUGGUGAGGUUGGCUUCCUGGAGUUCUUCGGUAGCGCGCGCUCGCUGCGGUCCGCGUUCAUCGUGAUGGCCAAUCCACGCUUCACACCGUACUCGACGAAGGAGGCGGUGGCCAAGGUGAGACACAGCUGCGGAAACAUGGCAUCUGAGUCCAGCUACCAGUUUGUGGUUGUGAACCAGGGACAACCAGGGGGUGCUCCCUGGAACUUCAAAACCGGGGCGGAUUUCUCUUUCCCUGACCCGUUUUCGUUCGACGCGGGGGUCUUCCAAGCUUAG